UACGUAGGGUGCAAGCAUUGUCCGGAUUUAUUGGGCGUAAAGAGCUCGUAGGCGGCUUGUCACGUCGGGUGUGAAAACUCGGGGCUCAACCCCGAGCCUGCACUCGAUACGGGCUAGCUAGAGUGUUGCAGGGGAGACUGGAAUUCCUGGUGUAGCGGUGAAAUGCGCAGAUAUCAGGAGGAACACCGGUGGCGAAGGCGGGUCUCUGGGCAACAACUGACGCUGAGGAGCGAAAGCGUGGGGAGCGAACAGG
rnacentral:rRNA from 1 species